rnacentral:misc_RNA from 1 species
GAGACAGCUGGUCUUGUAGGGAACUCGACCUUUCUUGCUUUAAUAAUUGUGUCCUCCCUUAGUAUUCUCUCUUGUGUUUGGUCGUGCCCAAAGGGGCGUUUACCAAACAGCAUUUGGUACAACAAAAUACCAGCUGACCAGACAUCAACUCUUGAGGAUAUAAGAGGUGUCUUACUUAGCUCAAAGCAUUCGGGAGGUAGGUACCAGUACGUUCCCG